UACGGAGGGUGCAAGCGUUAUCCGGAUUCACUGGGUUUAAAGGGUGCGUAGGUGGUCUGUUAAGUCAGCGAUGAAAGCCUGGAGCUCAACUCCAGAAUUGCCAUUGAUACUGACGGACUUGAAUCAAGUUGAGGUGGAUGGAAUAUUACAUGUAGCGGUGAAAUGCUUAGAUAUGUAAUAGAACACCAAUUGCGAAGGCAGUUCACUAAGCUUGCAUUGACACUGAGGCACGAAAGCGUGGGGAUCAAACAGG
rnacentral:rRNA from 1 species